UACGAAGGGGGCUAGCGUUGUUCGGAAUCACUGGGCGUAAAGCGCACGUAGGCGGGCCGUUAAGUCGGGGGUGAAAUCCUGGAGCUCAACUCCAGAACUGCCUUUGAUACUGAAGAUCUUGAGUUCGGGAGAGGUGAGUGGAACUGCGAGUGUAGAGGUGAAAUUCGUAGAUAUUCGCAAGAACACCAGUGGCGAAGGCGGCUCACUGGCCCGAUACUGACGCUGAGGCACGAAAGCGUGGGGAGCAAACAGG
rnacentral:rRNA from 1 species